GGUUGUGGCUCAGUGGUACAGCGCUCACCUGGCAUGUGCUGGGUGCUGGGUUCAAUCCUCAGCACAUCA
rnacentral:tRNA from 1 species